CCUACGGGUGGCAGCAGUGGGGGAUAUUGCACAAUGGGGGAAACCCUGAUGCAGCGACGCCGCGUGUGGGAAGACGGUCCUCUGGAUUGUAAACCACUGUCCCCAGGGACGAAGAUGACGGUACCUGGGGAGGAAGCUCCGGCUAACUACGGGCCCGGAGCCGCGGUAUAACGUGGGGAGCGAGCGUUGUCGGGAAUUAGUGGGGGUAAAGGGAGCGUAGGCGGGACGGCAAGUUGGGUGUAAAAUCUACCGGCUCAACCGGUAGCCGCACUCAAAACUGCAGUUCUUGAGUGAAGUAGAGGCAGGCGGAAUUCCUAGUGUAGCGGUGAAAUGCGUAGAUAUUAGGAGGAACACCAGUGGCGAAGGCGGCCUGCUGGGCUUUUACUGACGCUGAGGCUCGAAAGUGUGGGGAGCAAACAGGAUUAGAUACCCUUGUAGUC
rnacentral:rRNA from 1 species